GACCCCGUGGCGGAGUGGUAACGCGUUUGGUUCCAUACCGAAAGGCUGCGUGUUCGAAUCACGCCGGGGUCG